rnacentral:rRNA from 1 species
CUCCGACUCCUCGCAUGGGGUGUCGGGAAAGAUUUCAUCGGUAUGGGAUGGGGUCGCGUCCUAUCAGGUAGUCGGCGGGGUAACGGCCCACCGAGCCUACGACGGGUAGCCGGUCUGAGAGGGCGACCGGCCACAUUGGGACUGAGAUACGGCCCAGACUCCUACGGGAGGCAGCAGUGGGGAAUAUUGCACAAUGGGCGCAAGCCUGAUGCAGCGACGCCGCGUGCGGGAUGACGGCCUUCGGGUUGUAAACCGCUUUUGAUCGGGAGCAAGCCUUCGGGUGAGUGUACCUUUCGAAUAAGCACCGGCUAACUACGUGCCAGCAGCCGCGGUAAUACGUAGGGUGCAAGCGUUAUCCGGAAUUAUUGGGCGUAAAGGGCUCGUAGGCGGUUCGUCGCGUCCGGUGUGAAAGUCCAUCGCUUAACGGUGGAUCUGCGCCGGGUACGGGCGGG